UAGUUUUGUUUCUGUUUUUCUUUGCAGCCAAGCUCUUCUCCAGGAAGUGAAAAUGUGGUGCCUCGAGAGCCAUUGAUUGCCACAGCAGUGAAGUUCCUACAGAAUUCUCGGGUCCGGCAGAGCCCACUUGCAACCAGGAGAGCAUUUCUUAAGAAGAAAGUGGAGCAGAGAAAUUACAGGAUUUGAACAAGUAAGCAGCAGAUAUGAGACCAAGAGCAUCAUGGUACAGUCAGCUCUCAGUAGCAGAAUUGGCCCAUUGAAUAAGCCUGGAGGACUCCUGCUUCUUGGUCAGUCUGCUAGUGACCUGACUACAAAAGACCUUCUUGGGCUAGGAGAGGUCAGCUGCUUUGGUAAAGAACCACAGAGAAGCAAAAGACCAAGGAAAUGAGGUGAAUAAACAGUUGAGAUGAGGCCAAGCUCCGAUCAAUCUGAUUUCCAGAUUGAAACGGUAGGUUCCUAAUUUUUUUGGUAUUUCUGUAGACUGGAAUAAAAUGGAUCCUGACAAGUUCUGUAUUGUUGAAGCAGAUAGAACCUAUUCUCAUUCUAUUGCAAUUUAGGAUAUUUUUGGGGUUUUUUUGUAAAGCAAAAACAACCAUCUAACCAAAAAAGAAGGCAGACUUUUUAUUCUUAGGACUUUUACUUUUCUAGAGAUCUAGGAGGCUACUUAAAGAGCUUUACAUAACACUGAGGGUGUGUGUGU